GGGUUUGGCGGGGCCGGACUUGGCAUCCAGCCUGGGGGUGCAGUUUUACCCCCGGCCCAGGGCCGGGUCCCGCCCGGGCCGGCGCUCACAGGGCUCGGAAGGCGCCGAGGGCGUUCUCCUCCCACUCCGAGCCCGACUCCGAGUAGCCGCUGGUGUCCUCAGCCUCCGAGACGGGCGAGUACUGCCCGCAGAACGGGCGGCCCGGCGGGCAGGGGCCCGCGGCCGGCGGUGGCCCGGCGAAGGAGGCAGCUUCGGCCCCGGCGGGCUGGCUGGGCGGGAAGCCCUCGAAGCCGGGGCCGGGGGGGAAGGCGGCGGCCGGCGGCCACUCGUAGGGGGCCGAGCCCUCCUCCUUGAUCUGGACGAUCUGGGCUAGGCCGGAGAGGCGGUAGCGGGGCCGCUCCGGGGCGCGCAGGGCGGCGAAGCGCGGCGGCCGCGGGUAGCUCGGUGGUGGCGGCGGCUCGGCGGGCGGCGGCGCGGCGGGGCCGGGCCGGGGCGCUCCCCGCUGGCGGCGGGACUUGGCGCGGCGGUUCUGGAACCAGACCUGAGGAGAGAGGGCGGCGGUGAGGGUGGCCCCGGGCGCUGCGGCGCGGCGCGGCCGCCGCCCCUCACCUGGAUGCGGGACUCCGGGAUCUGCGUGGCGUCGGCCAGCUUCUCCCGCAGGUAGAUGUCGGGGUACAUGGUGUCCUGGAAGACCAGCUCCAGCGUCUCCAGCUGCGCCGCCGUGAAACUGGUCCGCUUCCGACGCUGCGAGGCGGCCGGCGCCCCCUCUGACGGCUCCGCCGCCGGCCGGCCCCGCUCCCCCGGGGGAAGCGCCCUGAGGGCGGGCGAGGCCGCGCCGGGCCCGCCGACCCCCGCCCACCUGCCGGCGGGGAAGGCGGGCGGCUCCGCUGGCGGUUCCCCGAAGCGCAGCGCGGCCAUGGCAGCGGGCGAGGAGGGGGUGCGGGCCCUCCGGCCGCCCUUUAUAGCCGGGGAGGGGGUCGGCGGGGGCGGGGGGUCGGAGGGAGGCGGCACGGCCCCAGGGGAAGGUGGGCGCGGAGCUGCGGGCACCCCGCCGCGCCCCGCACCCCGGGCCCGCCGGUGGGGUGCCCGCUUGGGGCGUCCCCUGCCUUACUCGGCCCGGAGCCCCGCAGCCCCACGGGGUGGGUGACGGCUGGCGACCCCCUGCACGGACCACGGGCAGCGAAGGGGAGAGCGGAGCAGGCUUUUCUUCCCCGCCUCCUGGAAGUUUCUUCGUGCUGCUGGACACACGCCAAAGAGCAAAUACGUUUAUUACUCCAAAUGAGACAACAGCAAUCCCAGAACGAGAGUGACUCCAGGCGGCAGUGAUUGCAGCAGCUCUCUACUGCCAUCCUAGCCAUCCUGCGUAUCUCAUUGUGAGACCACGUUUUUCCUCUUUUGCUGUCGUAUCUUCAUAUCUGGGAGGCUGUCUUAAUGCCUUUGAGAUGAGGCAGCAGGAGUCCUGGCAUGUAUGGAGCAGUCCAAGAGAAACAGGGAACCUGCUGACAGUGAAAAUCCUGACAGACUGAAGACUGAUCCUCCCUGCCCGAAGCACUUGAUUUUUGCACCUCUUCAGACGAAUGGUGAUCUUUCCACUGGCUGCAUGGAGGAGGCUCCUGCUUGAGGCACCAGGAUAAUUUCUAGCUGUGAGAUGCGAUGAGCCACACAGGUGCCCACACAGCAAACUUCUGUUUGAAGCAGCAGUGAGCUCACCAGUCUGCAAGGAAAUGGUCAGCUGCCAAACACGGCUGUUACUGAAGGUGACAGGACAGCUGGGCAACGUGAGGAAUGAUCUGGCAUCAGACAAAGCUGCAGGGAUGCAAAUGCACAUGCCGCGGGACGGGUUUGGACGUGUCUCUGAGUACUGGCUGCAACCAGCUCCCAAGCAGGGAUGUUUCAUCCAUGAGGGUGUUAGAGACACUCAGAAAGGAAAGCAAGCAGCCUCCAGUCACAGGGGAAGCUUGGGAGGGAGCCAGGGAGCAGCCUCAGUGCCCAGGCAUGGUGCUGUGGGUGCAGGCCCAGCCUUCCCUGCCGGCUCUCCAGAAACCCCUCAGGCUCCCCUGCUUUGCCAGGGCACUUGGCUGUUGCCUGUGCUGUAGGCACGAGCAGCAUUGGCAGGAUGAGGAGCUGACUGGGGGAGCUGGUUUCUUUGAUGAAAAAAUACACAUGCAAAUACACACUGUACGGUUGUUUAAAUAAAGUGAUGCUGAAGAAGGGUGACUUGUGUCAACUGGCAGAGAUGAAUUUACAUGCUACAGCAUGUAGCCAUAUGCUUUUAGGUAAGAGGUGGCACAUUUUUUGUGUCCAGCCAUGUAUACAUAAUGGUAUCACAGGGGGAGCCGAGUUGCUGUGGAAUUUAAGGUUGUGGUUUUUUUAAUGGCGCCUAGGAAACAGGAUACUGGAAAUCCUUGAACAUUCAAUAACUUCCCAGCCAGAGCUGUUAUUUGUCCUGUAAUAGUCUGCAGAUUACUUAAGACUUUACUAUAUCCCUUGAUAACUAAGAGCUCAGUCCUUUUAGAUAUUGAGCAGUCUCUAUUCUAAAUAGGGACGGCUGAGACUUUUUGCAAAGCUUUUGUCUACCUUUGUCUGAGGCUUUGUAACAACUAAGUGGCAUCCACACUUCUAGAAUUGAGACUGGUAAAUAAUUGGCCACGAUCCCAUUUGUUCAAAGAAGAAAAGAAAAUAGCACUGCAAUCCUACAUGGGUGACAAGAUGAAGCUGUCUGUCUCAUACAAUAGCCAUAGAAACCUCAGGCUCCUGGUGUUCAACUCCCUGGCUAUGAUUUUCCACAGUGACCAAGUAAUGUAUUUAAUCCUUUUGCUACCUCUUUGUAGAGACUCGGAGCUUUACAGUGUCAGAAGGAAUCAUCACUAACUCCUGCAAGGCAUUAGAAGGCAAGAUCUCGCAAUGUGUCACUGAGGGGAAAAAAAGAACUUUUCUUUCAAAACAGUUUUUUUUUCCCUCUAAUAUAUUUUACAAGUUGAGAAAAAACAAGCUCCUUCAAAAAAGAAAAUUAAAAACUUUGAUUCUUUUGUAAUGAAUGUGAUGCUAAAGCUGACACCUCAUUUCUUUCACUUGGGGUUAGAGAAAUUUUCUUCAGAUCUUCAGGACUUUCCAGUCCUCCUGAAGGAUUUUUCUCCUGACUCCUAGUUGACUGUUAAAAAAAUAAGAAUUAUUAGAUAUUUCACAGUGCAUUAAAUUACUUGCCUCUAAAUAAGUAUUAUUUUCAUGAAAGCAGUCAUAUUGGAUACCCUUACUUCUGUGGGAUCUGGGAGCCCUAAUCAGGACCAGCCCCUUCCUGACAUGACCAGCCUGGGGACUGGAUUAUUUGGUUAAAGUGAUUAACAGUGAGAUAAUUACAUUGUGCACACAAAACAUAGCGAGGGGGUCAGAACUAAUACCCACUGACCUGAAUGUGGCAUUUCACACCUCAGUGAUAAGGUUCAACCAGCAAAGAUUGCUACUGCCCUCUUUUUGAAUAGAAAGGAUUAGCAAGAACCGGCUGUCUGUCCGUGGCUAACAGGUUACUGGGAGGUGCUAGGCAUACUACUAGUGAUGUUUGGGACUCCGUCUGGCAACAAUUCCCUUCCCCAGGUUUUGGUCUGAAAGAAAUGGCAGUUGCAGUUGCGAAUAUCAGAGCCUGUUCUCCAGCUGGAAAAUAUUGUUGUUUGCUGUAAUAUAAAGGCUACUCAACGAUUACAAUGAUGGGCACUCUAUGGAGGCCUGUAAUAAAAGCAACACACAAAAGGAGAUAUGACAUUCACAUAUUUUUGAGCCUAAGGGCUUGUCUAUACUAGAGAUAUUUUUUUUUCUGCUGUGAGAAUCUCAGUGAGAUUAGACGCACUCUUCCUGCCUAUGUCUGUAUAGCUACAUCUAAACGAGGGCUUUUACCAGCAUAACUAUGUCAGCAAAAGACCCAGCUCUUAACUCAUAUAAUUGCACUGUAAGGCUCCUUAAGUGGAGGUCAGUUUAUACAGAUUCUGCAGAUGGAUGGAAGCAAGAGAAUUGCUCCUUUCAUCAUGAUAGCGUUUUAUCUCGGGGGCCUAGUGCUGACAUUUUGAGUGUUGUUAACCUCUGCUAUUUUAGGACUACUGUGUAGGAGCGCAUCACCACUGAAUCAGGCAUUCAGAUACUUCUCUCCUGGGGAUAUGGUUCAGAAAUCUGGCUGGUAAGAUGUAAUCACCUUGGUUAAGCUUUUCCUUUGAGAACUCUUGCCCUGUUUUUCCCUGAUGAAACUCCCUCACGUGCCAGCCAUCCCAGACCCUGUUUUACAUGAGCUACAUGAUGAGGUCCCCAGUGGAUGACUCCAUGACUACUUUAAAUUAUGUAUUAAUAUGUCAUUCCCCUCCUCAUUCAAAGAUUUUAUUAUCUUGAAGCACAGCAUGUGGAAUAAAGAGGAUUCACAUCUCGCUGUAUUUAAGAGGAAAAACGUACAACCUGUUCAUCAACUCCUCUCAAGUAUCAGCAAGAUACGGACCAGAAGCAGGAAAAAAAAGCCCCAAACAACAACAUAAAAAAGUGAGCCACAGCUGAGCAGAUGGGAACCAGCUGCACACUCUCCAUUAAAGAAGAGUGCAUCUGAUAAGUAAAUGAAGAGAGGUGUGUUUAACGCAUGUUUUUGAAAGGUAUGUCAUCCUUCUGUUUGCUGAAUGGAAGGAGUGAUAUGAAUAGCGCCACGUACUGCACACAUAGCCUUGCUUUUCCCAAGAGACAGGUGGGAGGGUCAGCAAACAGUUUUGCAAAGAAAUCCCCGCUCUGCCUAUCAUUUCCGGUGCCAUCGGGCAGCUUGGAGGCCCAAAGGCAGGUAUAGUUCAUUUGAAAAUAAAGGCAAAAGGAGUGGCCGCAGGAGGGAAGAAGCUGGUAUGUAGCACAGCGCAGAGGAUGAUGUGUCUGGAACAUCAGGAGAGCUCAGGGGCAGGGGUGUGCCAUCUCUGUCCCCUUCGGGGACACAUGUUAGUUGGGGGUCAGACCCUGACCCAGAGGUCCCACUCCCUUCUGAAGGUGUUUUAAAAGAGCAUCCAGAGGUGCUCCACAUUUACAUGGAUGGAAAUCAUUCAUCUGGCUGUUGGUUCACAGUUUUUCCUGGGCAGAUAGCCAAAAAUGCAAUUGUUAAUUGCAUCAAUUUCCAUGUUCUCUCUUCUGUAAAAUCACCUUAUUAGAGGAGUUGGUUAAAUUCAGGAAGUGCUCAAAUUCCUGGCCAUAUCUUGUUUAGAAAAGACUUCUUGAUAACAGUGCUGUACUACUUCUCUCAGCUCAUGUGUCUGUAAAAGGUGUGAUUGUUUACAGAGUUACGCUGCUGCAGAUGCAAUCCUAUCAGCAUAAGAUACUUCAAACUGGUAUCACAUAUUUUAUUAGACUGAACUGUUUUUUUAUGAUAACCUGUAGCUGGUACAACUGUGUCCAUGCUACGGGAUGUUUGCUGUCUGUCAAAAUGGGAAUAUUUAGUGAAGAUGGACUUUAGCAUGCGCAUGUUUCCUCAGGAGUCACUACAGCACUCUGUCAAUAAACCUGUUUUCAGCAGUGUUUGCUGACAUGGCUAAAAAGGUAUUGCCAGAUCCUACGUCUGACUGACUGUUAUUCUGCACCUUGUGUAAUAAUUUAGAGAAGUCAGGGUGAAUGUCACCAUAAAUUACUACAUAAAUGCAAGGCAGCAGCACAGUGAAUGCUGUUAGCCUCAAAGCAGACAACUAUUAUCCACCCUACUGUAGAGAGGUCCCAGAAGGGACUGCGAGUCAUUUGCAAAAUUGCAACUGUAGUGCCAUCCUUCAGAGUUGUCCAACAGGACGUGAAGCGCACAGCACAGUUUGCUCUUGGAUGCCAGGCCAGAUUAGACCAUGCUUUAAAGGAGACCUCUUGAAGGAAAAAGAAAAUGGAAUUGUGGUUAUUUUCAGGCAUCGACCCAAAUUGCAUACAAGUUUCUACUCAGAAAUUGCAUAGAGGUUUCUAUUUGGAAAAUUACCUUUCUCCUUUUUUUUUUUUUUUCCUGUUUUUGGAGCUUCCAUUAGUUCUUAGAAGAACUGAAACUAUUCAAUCCAGAUGAGACCGUGGUGGAGGUCUUGCAGAACUGGAUUCAAAGUGCUCUCUUGCUUAACUGAAAAGUAGAAACAGCAAAUCCUGAGUCGGCUUAUUUUUCUCCACAGACAUAUGACAUUUGAAUAAACAAGUAGUAAUGCAAAAGGAGUUUUAAAUGACUUAAGAGAAUUUUUUUUCAGUGAAUCCUGUGGUGCCGUUAUAUGCUUUGUCAUCCCAUAUGGGCCAAUCCCAGGAGGCCAAAGCCGAUUUAAUGUGCAUGCACAAAUGGCUGGAGCAUGACCCUUGAGUUUAUUGUGUCCUGAACAUCUAAAGCGUUACUGAGAAGAUCUGCUGUCUGUCACAUGUACAGCAGGGUCACCCUGGGCUCCUAAACUUCAGGAAAACCAAGAAGCAGCCACAAAAAAGCAGCUUGGUGGUAGAUGAGGUUGAGUGCUCACGAAAUGGGCAACACUGGUAGAUUCACUGUAGCUCCUGGGACAAAGAUACUGUCCAACAGGCUUCCAAAAAAAGUAAAAAUCAAUUUCUAUAAAAUGACUGUGAUCAAGAGAACUGUAAGGGGAAAACAAAAAUAUUUGCAUAUACUCUUUAAUCUAGAUUAUAUCAUCCAGAGCAAUGUAAAGCACAAAUCAAAUAUGUUCUUCGUGUUGCUAGCAGAGUUGGGAACCUACUACACUGUAACAGUGCCUCCAUGGGUGGAUUUACGGUGUAAGAUCAGCUCCUAACCAAACAGCUUGCAUCUGUCCUUCAAGGAAAGGGAGACAGACAAAGAGAAAGGCUGUAAUUUAAAGAACUUGAACACUUUCUUCCUUCUGUUCCUGGUCUGUUCCAGCCAGUACAACUCUCAUGAAUGCAAAAUGAAGCCAGUAAAAAGCGGAACAGAACUGUUAUGUUCUGGGAAAAGGUAAAUCCUGUUACUGCUCACAAAUGCAAUUCAACUGCCAAACCUUGGGGAAUUUAAUUCUUCCAUUAACCCAGUCACCCUCCCAGAGAUACACGUAGCCUUUCCUUCCAGACAGUCUGCUCUCCUCUCUCCCAGCUACAGGAGCUCUGGGCUGGUACGAUAACUCUAGGGCAGGAAGCAAUGUUCACACCUGGUUUAUUUAACGUAGCCAUUCCUGAGAAGCUGAUAACAAUAUUUUCAUGGUGAAUGAUUUGCAUUUCUGAAUCCAUAGCACAGUGCCAGACCCAGCUGCUUGGAGACGUUCAUUUGCGAUAAUCAAAUAUUUAGCAGCUGUUGCUCUAACAAACACCACAUUAGGCCACAUCUUACAAAGCGGGGCUUCUUCCUCUGUUAGCCACUGCUGCGCAAGUGGAACUUCAAAGGACAGCCCCCACUGCAGGAAGCACCCAGGUUUUACCCACGGGUGUCUGCGAGGAAGGGCUGACGGUCUGGUACCUGCAAACACCAGGAAGAGUAGAAGAGCUGUUUGUUUAAGUGAGACUAGUGCUUUAUGAACGUUUUAAUGGUUCACUGUGUAAUUGGAAUGAGUAGGUUGGUAUUUUUAACUGUUAAACAUUCACCAGCUUCGAUUAAAUAAUUGAUGGUUUCUAUACAAAUUUUCUAGGCCUAUGGUUCGUCGUGGAGGGCAUUUGCUGGACUAGACUAGCUCUCCAGGACUUGUAUUUCUUUUGUGUUUCUUUUCCUAUGCAAACCCAGCUGUUGCAAGAAAUAAAUGAAUC